CCAAGACAUCUGGGAUGAAGCUAUUUGAUCAGUCUGCUUAACCUUGACUUACCACAUUAACCACAACAGCCUCAAAUCCAUUACAGGAAAGUGCAAAACCUCUCCUAAUCUGUGCCUGGUACUGUAAGAGACAUGCUUCUUGGAAUUUGGGACACCAAAAGCAGAGGGCGAGCUUGGUUCUGUUAUUUCCCAUUAAUGACCCUUUGGGCGGUGCAUCUGCUCAGUCCCUGUGGAUCUGAGUCUUCUGUGACAACUCCGUGAUGAUGAGAAGAUCAGGGCCCCAAAGAUAAAAUAAUUAAGACAGAGAGUGGAACUAGGAUUCAGAAACCCUAACUCCCAGUCCAGGGAUUAAAC